GACGGAGGGUGCAAGCGUUGCUCGGAAUCACUGGGCGUAAAGGGUGCGUAGGCGGUCUCGCAAGUCUGGCGUGAAAGCCCAAGGCUCAGCCUUGGAAGUGCGCUCGAAACGGCGAGGCUGGAGUGCCGGAGGGGAGAGUGGAAUUCCCGGUGUAGCGGUGAAAUGCGUAGAGAUCAUGAGGAAGACCAGUGGCGAAGGCGGGUCUCUGGACAGUUCCUGACACUGAGACACGAAGGCCAGGGGAGCAAACGGG
rnacentral:rRNA from 1 species